rnacentral:rRNA from 1 species
UACGUAGGUGGCAAGCGUUGUUCGGAUUUACUGGGUGUAAAGGGCGUGCAGCCGGAGAGACAAGUCAGAUGUGAAAUCCACGGGCUCAACCCGUGAACUGCAUUUGAAACUGUUUCCCUUGAGUGUCGGAGAGGUAAUCGGAAUUCCUUGUGUAGCGGUGAAAUGCGUAGAUAUAAGGAAGAACACCAGUGGCGAAGGCGGAUUACUGGACGAUAACUGACGGUGAGGCGCGAAAGCGUGGGGAGCAAACAGG